GAGCAUCGUAAACAUUAUUUCAAGAGGUUUCCGAAAAGGAUCUCUAAAAUUAUCAGAGAAUUCACAAUUCAAGAGUACCUAACGAAGAAGAAGGGAAAUUAAUCCUUCAUAUGGCUCAAGUGUUCACAAGAAAUGUGGUUGCCAGCUAAAGAGGAGAGGAGAAAGAUUCUGUGCAACUGAAAGGUCUACCUUAAACAUCACAGUCCAACAUUCAACAGUACCACAGUGCAUCUACAAUGUCCCAAGCUUUAGCUCCGCACCCUACAGCUGUCUGGGUAAAGGAGAGCAUGUGAGUGGACCCAAAGAAUGGCUAGGUAAAGCCCUGUCCAAGUCUAGAACAGCAACAGCCAUGCUGCAGCAAUGUGGAAACAGACCUGAAGAAAAAACUAGCACUGUGAGGAUGGCAGACGGAAGAUGGAAAGAGCUUGGGUCCUUGAGGACACUGUGGAACUGCUGAAGAGACCAUGGAAUUGAGCUGACCAGCCUCCAUUCUUAUUCUGUGUAAUUAUACAUGUCUAUUUUUUUAAAUCUCCAAACCAAAGAAAUAAAACUCUUCCCAGGCUUC
ensembl:lncRNA novel transcript, antisense to C15orf41